rnacentral:rRNA from 1 species
CCUACGGGAGGCAGCAGUGGGGAAUAUUGGACAAUGGGCGAAAGCCUGAUCCAGCAAUGCCGCGUGUGUGAAGAAGGUCUUCGGAUUGUAAAGCACUUUCGACGGGGACGAUGAUGACGGUACCCGUAGAAGAAGCCCCGGCUAACUUCGUGCCAGCAGCCGCGG